UCCGUGUUAACCACGGCAGUCUUACUAGAGAGCCCAACUUAAUGCUGGCAACUAGUAACAGGGGUUGCGCUCGUUAAGGGACUUAACCCAACAUGUCACCACACGAGCUGACGACAGCCAUGCAGCACCUGUCUUCUGGUUGUAUUGCUACAAAAGCCGUAUUUCUACGGUUGUCCAGAGAUGUCAAAUCUAGGUAAGGUUUUUCGCGUUGCUUCGAAUUAAACCACAUGAUCCACCGCUUGUGCGGGCCCCCGUCAAUUCCUUUGAGUUUUAGUCUUGCGACCGUACUUCCCAGGCGGAGUACUUAUUGCGUUAGCUCCGACUCUGCGGGGGUCAAGACCCACAAAAUCUAGUACUCAUCGUUUACAGCGCGGACUAC
rnacentral:misc_RNA from 1 species